rnacentral:rRNA from 1 species
UACGUAGGCAGCGAGCGUUGUUCGGAAUUACUGGGCGUAAAGAGUGUGUAGGCGGUGCUCUAAGUUCGGUGUGAAAUCUCCCGGCUUAACUGGGAGGGUGCGCCGGAAACUGGAGUGCUCGAGCGUGGGAGAGGAAAGCGGAAUUCCUGGUGUAGCGGUGAAAUGCGUAGAUAUCGUCAGGAACGCCAAUGGUGAAGACAGGUGACUGGGCCGGUACUGACACUGAGGCACGAAAGCGUGGGGAGCGAACGGG